CUUUACGGAUCACAAUUAAUGUGACAUAUCAUUCAUGUUUCUGACCUAUCAGCUUUAGAGGGUAGGGUAUUGGCCUACCGUGGCAAUGACGGGUAACGGGGAAUUAGGGUUCGAUUCCGGAGAGGGAGCCUGAGAAACGGCUACCACAUCUAAGGAAGGCAGCAGGCGCGCAAAUUACCCAAUCCUAAUACAGGGAGGUAGUGACAAGAAAUAACAAUACAGGACUUUUUUGGUUUUGUAAUUGGAAUGAGUUAAGUAUAAACCCCUUUACAAGUAUCAAUUGGAGGGCAAGUCUGGUGCCAGCAGCCGCGGUAAUUCCAGCUUAAUA
rnacentral:rRNA from 1 species